rnacentral:tRNA from 1 species
GCGGUCGUGGCGAAGUGGUUAACGCAUCUGCUUGUGGCGCAGACACUCGAGGGUUCGAUUCCCUUCGGCCGCCCCA